AGCGAACGCUGGCGGCAGGCCUAACACAUGCAAGUCGAACGGUCCUUCGGGAUAGUGGCGGACGGGUGAGUAACACGUGGGAACGUGCCUUUUGGUUCGGAACAACUUGGGGAAACUUAAGCUAAUACCGGAUGUGCCCUUAGGGGGAAAGAUUUAUCGCCAUUAGAGCGGCCCGCGUCUGAUUAGCUAGUUGGUGGGGUAAAGGCCUACCAAGGCGACGAUCAGUAGCUAGUCAGAGAGGAUGAUCAGCCACAUUGGGACUGAGACACGGCCCAAACUCCUACGGGAGGCAGCAGUGGGGAAUCUUGCGCAAUGGGCGAAAGCCUGACGCAGCCAUGCCGCGUGAAUGAUGAAGGUCUUAGGAUUGUAAAAUUCUUUCACCGGGGACGAUAAUGACGGUACCCGGAGAAGAAGCCCCGGCUAACUUCGUGCCAGCCGCCGCCGUAA
rnacentral:rRNA from 1 species